CCCUUAGAUGUCCUGGGCCGCACGCGCGUUACACUGAUGCAUUCAACGAGCUUAUAACCUUGGCCGAGAGGCCUGGGCAAUCUUGUUAACGUGCAUCGUGAUAGGGAUAGAUUAUUGAAAUUAUUAAUCUUGAACUAGGAAUUCCUAGUAAACGCAGAUCAUCAAUCUGCAUUGAUUACGUCCCUGCCCUUUGUACACACCGCCCGUCGCACCUACCGAUUGGAUGGUCCGGUGAAGCCUCGGGAUUGUGGUUCUUGCCGCUUUAUUGUGGCGUGACCGCGAGAACUUGUCUAAACCUUAUCAUCUAGAGGAAGGUGAAGUCGUAACA
rnacentral:rRNA from 1 species